CUUUUCUCCUUUUAAUACUCGUUUUCUUUCAAAAGACAUUAUGAUGGGCACCACCAUCUCUUUAAGUGCUUAAAGGCCUUUCAAAAGUUUUACUCAGGCCCCAUAGCUGCUGCUGUAUUAUUAUUAUUAUAGCUGCCGCAUACUGGCUUCCUGGAUAAUCCUCAAACACGGAAGGUUUGGGUACACCUCAGGGCCUUUGUACAUGCUGUCUCCUCUGCCUAGAAAACUCUUCAUCCCCAUCCCUGCAUGGUGGCGGCUCACUCGAUGUUUGUUUGUAUUUAUAUAUACAUAAUACAAUAAAGACCAGUGAAAUCAGCAAGCAACCCAAGAAUUGGAAUGCUGGUAAUAAAUUCCCUUCCCCUAUGAACUCCUUUCCCAUCCCAUCCUCUGCUUUUCCUCACCUGAGGUAAUAUCUGUCCCGAAUCUUCCCUUACAUUUUAAAAUAACUUAAUAGCUUUAUUGAGAUAGAAUUCACAUACCAUGGUAUUCAGUCAUUUAAAGUGUACAGUUCACUGGUAUAUUCACAGUUAUGCAACUAUCAUAAAAAUAAAUUUCAGAGUAUUUCCAUCACCCCCAAAAGAAACUCUGUACUUAUUACUAGUCACUCCACCAUCUCUACCUCUGCUCAUACCUAAGCAACCAUUCUACUACUUUCUGUCUCCAUGGAUUUCCUGCACCAUUUACAUUUCUACCAGUAGUGUAUGAGGGUUCCAAUUUCUCCCUUCUCUUACUUUCUAAAAUAUGGUUUCUUAAAAAUAUAUUCUCUUUCCUUUAGCUUUUUCAAAAGGGUAUCUUGCUGUACACAAUAUUCUGAUAACUUCCUUUCUCACUCAACAUUAUAGUGCUGAUUCAUCUAAAUUAUUGCUCCUGUGUAGGGUUUGUUCAUUUUCCACUGUGGGAAUAUACCACAAUUUUCCUAUCUUUUGUCUUGUCAAUGGACAUUUGGGUUAUUUCCAAUUUUUGUUCUUAUAGAGAUUUACUGUUAACAAUCCUAGAUGUGUCUCUGGUGCUUAAGUGCAAGAAAAGUCUCCUGAGUAUGUCAUGGGAAGUGUGGUGGCUUCAUCUGAGGACAUGUGAAUGCUAACUUUUACAAGGCAAUGCCAUACUUCCAAGUUGUACCAAUUUACUUUUACACCAGCAACAUAGAAGAGAUCCUCUUCAUCCACAUCCUGUCCAAAGUUUGACAGUACAUCCUCUCAUUGCACAGCUCCACUUGGUAUACCACAGCCGAAGAGAAGUUCCAUGAACUCAGGACCCAGCUGGUUUCCACUCUUGCCAUUGCAUCCCCUAGCAGAUCUUGGCACAAUAUAGACUCCAUAUCUGUUCAGUGAAGGGAGGAAGGAGCCAACUGAAGUGUGGAUAUGGCUGUCCCAGACACCAGCAUGCAACUCCACCCAUGGUUGGCAGAGACAUUCAUAGAGAAGAAAGAGAAAGGGGUAGAGAAUUAAAAAAAAAAAAACUUUUCUGUGAAAUCCCAGAGUUUUAAAAACCCUGAUGGAAUGCUGGGUUACCAAUUCAUGAACUGCAGUUUGAAACUCAAGAGAAGCACAAGGCAGAGACGAGAGACCAGAACCGGAGACAUGUGCACCGGGAGAAAAGGACAAGUGUCAGUCAUUUUAGCAGCAAUGGCACAGCUGAUGGAAUUGGGGAAUAUUCAGAUUGGGAAAAGGAAGGGGAAGGGGAUUGGAUGGGGGAAGGGAUUUUGUCUGGGUAGUGGGUCCCAUCCGGCAACUCUGAAAUCACACCUCAUUGGCAUAUUUCUGCAUCUCCUGGAGUAUAAUCCUUACCCCACAACCUGACUCUGAAACUCGUUAGAUUUUUUCCUGGGGUGGGUGACCAUAUACUUUAUCAUGAAAGGGGACACUCUUAAUAAUUAUGCUGGAACAACAGAAAUAAAUUGAGAUUGCUUGGAUAAACUGGCAA